GGUUAAGCGACUAAGCGUACACGGUGGAUGCCCUGGCAGUCAGAGGCGAUGAAGGACGUGCUAAUCUGCGAUAAGCGUCGGUAAGGUGAUAUGAACCGUUAUAACCGGCGAUUUCCGAAUGGGGAAACCCAGUGUGUUUCGACACACUAUCAUUAACUGAAUCCAUAGGUUAAUGAGGCGAACCGGGGGAACUGAAACAUCUAAGUACCCCGAGGAAAAGAAAUCAACCGAGAUUCCCCCAGUAGCGGCGAGCGAACGGGGAGGAGCCCAGAGUCUGAAUCAGUGUGUGUGUUAGUGGAAGCGUCUGGAAAGGCGCGCGAUACAGGGUGACAGCCCCGUACACAAAAAUGCACAUACUGUGAGCUCGAUGAGUAGGGCGGGACACGUGGUAUCCUGUCUGAAUAUGGGGGGACCAUCCUCCAAGGCUAAAUACUCCUGACUGACCGAUAGUGAACCAGUACCGUGAGGGAAAGGCGAAAAGAACCCCGGCGAGGGGAGUGAAAAAGAACCUGAAACCGUGUACGUACAAGCAGUGGGAGCCUCUUUUAUGGGGUGACUGCGUACCUUUUGUAUAAUGGGUCAGCGACUUAUAUUCUGUAGCAAGGUUAACCGAAUAGGGGAGCCGAAGGGAAACCGAGUCUUAACUGGGCGUUAAGUUGCAGGGUAUAGACCCGAAACCCGGUGAUCUAGCCAUGGGCAGGUUGAAGGUUGGGUAACACUAACUGGAGGACCGAACCGACUAAUGUUGAAAAAUUAGCGGAUGACUUGUGGCUGGGGGUGAAAGGCCAAUCAAACCGGGAGAUAGCUGGUUCUCCCCGAAAGCUAUUUAGGUAGCGCCUCGUGAAUUCAUCUCCGGGGGUAGAGCACUGUUUCGGCAAGGGGGUCAUCCCGACUUACCAACCCGAUGCAAACUGCGAAUACCGGAGAAUGUUAUCACGGGAGACACACGGCGGGUGCUAACGUCCGUCGUGAAGAGGGAAACAACCCAGACCGCCAGCUAAGGUCCCAAAGUCAUGGUUAAGUGGGAAACGAUGUGGGAAGGCCCAGACAGCCAGGAUGUUGGCUUAGAAGCAGCCAUCAUUUAAAGAAAGCGUAAUAGCUCACUGGUCGAGUCGGCCUGCGCGGAAGAUGUAACGGGGCUAAACCAUGCACCGAAGCUGCGGCAGCGACGCUUAUGCGUUGUUGGGUAGGGGAGCGUUCUGUAAGCCUGCGAAGGUGUGCUGUGAGGCAUGCUGGAGGUAUCAGAAGUGCGAAUGCUGACAUAAGUAACGAUAAAGCGGGUGAAAAGCCCGCUCGCCGGAAGACCAAGGGUUCCUGUCCAACGUUAAUCGGGGCAGGGUGAGUCGACCCCUAAGGCGAGGCCGAAAGGCGUAGUCGAUGGGAAACAGGUUAAUAUUCCUGUACUUGGUGUUACUGCGAAGGGGGGACGGAGAAGGCUAUGUUGGCCGGGCGACGGUUGUCCCGGUUUAAGCGUGUAGGCUGGUUUUCCAGGCAAAUCCGGAAAAUCAAGGCUGAGGCGUGAUGACGAGGCACUACGGUGCUGAAGCAACAAAUGCCAUGCUUCCAGGAAAAGCCUCUAAGCAUCAGGUAACAUCAAAUCGUACCCCAAACCGACACAGGUGGUCAGGUAGAGAAUACCAAGGCGCUUGAGAGAACUCGGGUGAAGGAACUAGGCAAAAUGGUGCCGUAACUUCGGGAGAAGGCACGCUGAUAUGUAGGUGAAGCGACUUGCUCGUGGAGCUGAAAUCAGUCGAAGAUACCAGCUGGCUGCAACUGUUUAUUAAAAACACAGCACUGUGCAAACACGAAAGUGGACGUAUACGGUGUGACGCCUGCCCGGUGCCGGAAGGUUAAUUGAUGGGGUCAGCGCAAGCGAAGCUCUUGAUCGAAGCCCCGGUAAACGGCGGCCGUAACUAUAACGGUCCUAAGGUAGCGAAAUUCCUUGUCGGGUAAGUUCCGACCUGCACGAAUGGCGUAAUGAUGGCCAGGCUGUCUCCACCCGAGACUCAGUGAAAUUGAACUCGCUGUGAAGAUGCAGUGUACCCGCGGCAAGACGGAAAGACCCCGUGAACCUUUACUAUAGCUUGACACUGAACAUUGAGCCUUGAUGUGUAGGAUAGGUGGGAGGCUUAGAAGUGUGGACGCCAGUCUGCAUGGAGCCGACCUUGAAAUACCACCCUUUAAUGUUUGAUGUUCUAACGUUGACCCGUAAUCCGGGUUGCGGACAGUGUCUGGUGGGUAGUUUGACUGGGGCGGUCUCCUCCUAAAGAGUAACGGAGGAGCACGAAGGUUGGCUAAUCCUGGUCGGACAUCAGGAGGUUAGUGCAAUGGCAUAAGCCAGCUUGACUGCGAGCGUGACGGCGCGAGCAGGUGCGAAAGCAGGUCAUAGUGAUCCGGUGGUUCUGAAUGGAAGGGCCAUCGCUCAACGGAUAAAAGGUACUCCGGGGAUAACAGGCUGAUACCGCCCAAGAGUUCAUAUCGACGGCGGUGUUUGGCACCUCGAUGUCGGCUCAUCACAUCCUGGGGCUGAAGUAGGUCCCAAGGGUAUGGCUGUUCGCCAUUUAAAGUGGUACGCGAGCUGGGUUUAGAACGUCGUGAGACAGUUCGGUCCCUAUCUGCCGUGGGCGCUGGAGAACUGAGGGGGGCUGCUCCUAGUACGAGAGGACCGGAGUGGACGCAUCACUGGUGUUCGGGUUGUCAUGCCAAUGGCACUGCCCGGUAGCUAAAUGCGGAAGAGAUAAGUGCUGAAAGCAUCUAAGCACGAAACUUGCCCCGAGAUGAGUUCUCCCUGACCCUUUAAGGGUCCUGAAGGAACGUUGAAGACGACGACGUUGAUAGGCCGGGUGUGUAAGCGCAGCGAUGCGUUGAGCUAACCGGUACUAAUGAACCGUGAGG
rnacentral:rRNA from 1 species